AGAGUUUGAUCCUGGCUCAGGAUGAACGCUGACAGAAUGCUUAACACAUGCAAGUCUAUUGGAAGCUUGCUUCCGAUGGCGGACGGGUGAGUAACACGUAAAGAAUCUGCCCUUUAGUCUGGGAUAACAUCUGGAAACAGUUGCUAAUACCGGAUAUUAUAAUUUGAUGGCAUCAUCUUAUUAUGAAAACUAUAUGUGCUAGAGGAGGACUUUGCGUCCCAUUAGUUAGUUGGUGAGGUAAUGGCUCACCAAGACUUCGAUGGGUAGCCGGCCUGAGAGGGUGUACGGCCACAAGGGGACUGAGACACGGCCCUUACUCCUACGGGAGGCAGCAGUGGGGAAUAUUGGACAAUGGGAGAAAUCCUGAUCCAGCAAUUCUGUGUGCAUGAUGACGGUCUUCGGAUUGUAAAGUGCUUUCGACAGGGAAGAAUAAAUUGACGGUACCUGUAUAAGAAGCGACGGCUAAAUACGUGCCAGCAGCCGCGGUAAUACGUAUGUCGCAAGCGUUAUCCGGAAUCACUGGGCAUAAAGGGCGUCUAGGCGGUUUGAAAAGUCAGUGGUGAAAGGUAUGGGCUCAACCCGUGCAUUGCCAUUGAAACUCUUAAACUAGAGUAUGGGAGAGGAGGGCGGAACUACAAGAGUAGCGGUGAAAUGCGUAGAUAUUUGUAGGAAUGCCGAUGACGAAGGUAGCUCUGGACCAAUACUGACGCUAAAGCGCGAAAGCUAGGGUAGCAAACAGGAUUAGAUACCCUGGUAGUCCUAGCUGUAAACGAUGAUUACUGGGUGUAGGCUGUCAAAGGUCUGUGCCGAAGCUAAUGGGAUAAGUAAUCCACCUGGGGAGUACGACCGCAAGGUUGAAACUCAAAGGAAUUGACGGGGACCCGCACAAGCGGUGGAGCAUGUGGUUUAAUUCGACGCAACGCGAGGAACCUUACCAGAACUUGACAUCCUAAGAACUUAGCAGAGAUGCUUUGGUGCCUUUUCGGAGGAACUUAGUGACAGGUGGUGCAUGGCUGUCGUCAGCUCGUGUCGUGAGAUGUUGGGUUAAGUCCCGCAACGAGCGCAACCCCUAUUGUUAGUUACCAUCAUUAAGUUGGGGACUCUAACGAGACUGCCUGCGAUGAGCAGGAGGAAGGUGGGGAUGACGUCAAGUCAUCAUGCCCCUUAUGUUCUGGGCUACACACGUGCUACAAUGGACAGUACAAAGGGAUGCCAAACCGUGAGGUGGAGCAAGACCCAUAAAACUGUUCGAAGUUCGGAUUGUAGUCUGCAACUCGACUACAUGAAGCUGGAAUCGCUAGUAAUCGCAAAUCAGCAAUGUUGCGGUGAAUACGUUCUCGGGUCUUGUACACACCGCCCGUCACACCACGAGAGUUUAUUGCACCUGAAAUUACUGGCCUAACCGUAAGGAGGGAAGUACCUAAGGAGUGGUAAGCGAUUGGGGUGAAGUCGUAACAAGGUA
rnacentral:rRNA from 1 species